rnacentral:lncRNA from 1 species
AUCCACUACUAUUAUUAUUAGAGUUAUUAACUAACUUUUUUAUUGAAUAUAAUAGGGUGCACAAGCCUCGAGAGUUUCCCAAAAAUCAAGGAAAAUAUGAGUAAGCUAAGAGAGAUUAAUUUAAGUGGAACAGCUAUAAUAGAAGUACCAUCAUCAAUUGAGCAUCUAAAUGGGCUUGAAUACUUCAAUUUAAGUGGAUGCUUCAACCUCGUAAGUCUUCCGAGGAGUAUUUGUAAUUUGAGUUCUCUUCAAACUCUCUAUCUGGAUAGCUGUUCAAAACUAAAGGGUUUUCCAGAAAUGAAGGACAAUAUGGGGAAUCUAGAAAGGCUUAAUUUGAGAUUUACAGCUAUAGAAGAGCUUUCAUCAUCAGUUGGACAUCUAAAGGCUCUUAAACACCUAGAUUUGUCAUUUUGUAAAAACCUUGUGAAUCUUCCAGAGAGCAUUUUCAAUAUCAGCUCUCUUGAAACUCUCAAUGGGAGUAUGUGUUUAAAAAUAAAGGACUUUCCAGAGAUCAAGAACAAUAUGGGAAAUCUAGAAAGGCUUGAUUUGAGUUUCACAGCUAUAGAAGAGCUUCCAUAUUCAAUUGGAUAUCUAAAGGCUCUUAAAGACCUAGAUUUAUCAUAUUGUCACAACCUUGUGAAUCUUCCAGAGAGCAUUUGCAAUUUGAGCUCUCUUGAAAAGCUU